GAUGAACGCUGGCGGCGUGCCUAAUACAUGCAAGUCGAGCGAACAGACGAGGAGCUUGCUCCUCUGACGUUAGCGGCGGACGGGUGAGUAACACGUGGAUAACCUACCUAUAAGACUGGGAUAACUUCGGGAAACCGGAGCUAAUACCGGAUAAUAUAUUGAACCGCAUGGUUCAAUAGUGAAAGACGGUUUUGCUGUCACUUAUAGAUGGAUCCGCGCCGCAUUAGCUAGUUGGUAAGGUAACGGCUUACCAAGGCGACGAUGCGUAGCCGACCUGAGAGGGUGACCGGCGACAUAGGGACUGAGAGACAGCCCAGACUCAUACGGGAGGCAGAAGUGGGGAAUAGAGAACAAGGGGCGGAAGCAUAAGGCAGAAACGCCGCGUGCGGGAUGACGGCAGAAGGGUUGUAAACCGCGUGCGCCGGGAACGAAGCGUGAGGGACGGGAAGGGGUAAAGAAGCACCGGCUAACUACGUG
rnacentral:rRNA from 1 species